rnacentral:rRNA from 1 species
AUUGAACGCUGGCGGCAUGCUUUACACAUGCAAGUCGAACGGUAACGCGGGGCAACCUGGCGACGAGUGGCGAACGGGUGAGUAAUGCAUCGGAACGUGCCCGGUAGUGGGGGAUAACUGCUCGAAAGAGCAGCUAAUACCGCAUACGACCUGAGGGUGAAAGGGGGGGAUCGCAAGACCUCUCGCUAUUGGAGCGGCCGAUGUCGGAUUAGCCAGUUGGUGGGGUAAGGGCCCACCAAGGCGACGAUCCGUAGCUGGUCGGAGAGGACGACCGGCCACACUGGGACGGAGACACGGCCCGGACUCCUGCGGGAGGCAGCAGUGGGGAAUUUUGGACAAUGGACGCAAGUCUGAUCCAGCCAUGCCGCGUGCGGGAAGAAGGCCUUCGGGUUGUAAACCGCUUUUGUCAGAGAAGAAAUCUUCUGGGUUAAUACCUCGGGAGGAUGACGGUAUCUAAAGAAUAAGCACCGGCUAACUACGUGCCAGCCGCCGCGGUAAGAC